AGAUUGAACGCUAGCGGGAUGCUUUACACAUGCAAGUCGAACGGCAGCGCGGACUUCGGUCUGGCGGCGAGUGGCGAACGGGUGAGUAAUAUAUCGGAACGUGCCCAGUAGCGGGGGAUAACUACGCGAAAGCGUGGCUAAUACCGCAUACGCCCUACGGGGGAAAGGGGGGAUUCUUCGGAACCUCUCACUAUUGGAGCGGCCGAUAUCAGAUUAGCUAGUUGGUGAGGUAAAGGCUCACCAAGGCGACGAUCUGUAGCUGGUUUGAGAGGACGACCAGCCACACUGGGACUGAGACACGGCCCAGACUCCUACGGGAGCAGCAGUGGGAAUUUGGACAAGUGGGGAAACCCUGAUCCAGCCAUCCCGCGUGUGCGAGUGAAGGCCUUCGG
rnacentral:rRNA from 1 species